GGGUGAGACGGGAGGAGGGUAGUCACGGGCUCAGGGCUGGAGGCUGGCGGGCUAGGGCUGAGUGGAGCGCCUGCUUAGAGACCUUCGGGAGAACUUCUGCCGGAACCCCGACGGCUCAGAGGCGCCCUGGUGCUUCACACUGCGGCCCGGCAUGCGCGUGGCCUUUUGCUACCAGAUCCGGCGUUGUACAGACGACGUGCGGCCCCAGGGUGAGGCCCAAGCUUGGGGGAUACAGAGCCGGGGCUGGAAGCCUGGAACCGGAGGGCCGGGGCGAGGUCUCGGCCUGAUGGCUGCCCGCACCCGCCACAGACUGCUACCACGGCGCAGGGGAGCAGUACCGCGGCACGGUCAGCAAGACCCGCAAGGGUGUCCAGUGCCAGCGCUGGUCCGCUGAGACGCCGCACAAGCCGCAGUUCACGUUUACCUCCGAACCGCAUGCACAACUGGAGGAGAACUUCUGCCGGAACCCAGAUGGGGAUAGCCAUGGGCCCUGGUGCUACACGAUGGACCCAAGGACCCCAUUCGACUACUGUGCCCUGCGACGCUGCGCUGAUGACCAGCCGCCAUCAAUCCUGGAUCCCCCAGGUUAGGAGUUGGGCCAGUUAUGGGUCAGGCCCUUUAGCCCACGACAUCCACACAGUCUGGGUUU
rnacentral:sRNA from 1 species